rnacentral:rRNA from 1 species
UACGUAGGGGGCGAGCGUUGUCCGGAUUUAUUGGGCGUAAAGAGCGUGUAGGCGGCCAGGCAGGUCUGCUGUGAAAACUCGAGGCUCAACCUCGAGACGUCGGCGGAAACCAUCUGGCUAGAGUCCGGAAGAGGAGAGUGGAAUUCCUGGUGUAGCGGUGAAAUGCGCAGAUAUCAGGAAGAACACCCGUGGCGAAGGCGGCGCUCUGGGACGGUACUGACGCUGAGACGCGAAAGCGUGGGGAGCGAACAGG